rnacentral:rRNA from 1 species
AGCGAACGCUGGCGGCAGGCCUAACACAUGCGAGUCGAACGAAGUCUUCGGACUUAGUGGCGGACGGGUGAGUAACACGUGGGAACGUGCCUUUAGGUUCGGAAUAACUCAGGGAAACUUGUGCUAAUACCGAAUGUGCCCUUCGGGGGCAAGAUUUAUCGCCUUUAGAGCGGCCCGCGUCUGAUUAGCUAGUUGGUGAGGUAAAGGCUCACCAAGGCUACGAUCAGUAGCUGGUCUGAGAGGAUGACCAGCCACAUUGGGACUGAGACACGGCCCAAACUCCUACGGGAGGCAGCAGUGGGGAAUCUUGCGCAAUGGGCGAAAGCCUGACGCAGCCAUGCCGCGUGGAUGAUGAAGGUCUUAGGAUUGUAAAAUCCUUUCACCGGUGAAGAUAAUGACUGUAGCCGGAGAAGAAGCCCCGGCUAACUUCGUGCCAGCAGCCGCCGUAACAC